UAAUACUUGCAACACAGUUGUUUUUUUUCACAUCAUUGUUGUAUACACGCAUUUUUUUUGUUUGUUUUCCAAUUUUUUCCCCAACAAACAAUUAUAUUGCAUGUCGACGCAUCAUGGCAAAUCAAGAGAUCAGUUUAAAAUGGAAUGGAUACCAAAGUAACAUUCUAAGUAACGUGAAAGACUUAUUUAGGGACGAAAGUUUAUCGGAUGUAACCCUCGUAUCAGAAGGUUUCAAUUUCAAGGCACACAAAGUUAUUCUCUCAGCAAAUAGUACAGUUUUUAAGAGUAUAUUUCAACAAAACCCCCACAAAGAUCCAAUUAUAGUGCUCCAUGAUAUCAAUACGGACUCGCUGCGAACUCUUUUGCGGUUUAUGUACAACGGCGAGGUCAAUGUGACUGAGGAAUUCCUGCCAAUUCUACUGAAGACGGCAGAGGUGCUGAGAAUAUGUGGCUUGUCCACUGGUAGUGAUACAUGCAAAGAUGAUGAGAAAACAGCUACAUCAACUCAAGCUGUACCUAAAAAAAGAAAGAAAAGUGAACAGGAAGAUAAUAAUAACAGAAGUCUCAAAAAACCUACACCAUGUUUAUCUAAACUUGAUACAGUUGUUGCCUUUACUAGUUCAGACACUUUGAAAAACUCUGAUAUUGUGCCCAAAGAAGAACCAGUUGACUCCCCAUUGACAGAUUAUUCAGGAGAUAACACAAAUGAUACAGACAUAGCUGUACUAGACAAUAACUCAGAAAAAAAGUUUACAAUAAACCCUGAGAGUCCACCUAUUUUGAAGAAAGCUGUGUGUACAACAUCGACUUCUGACCGUCUAAAUAUAAAAAAGUGUAUAAACGAAGUGAGUAGUACACAGCCAUGUUUAAAUGUUGUCUGCGAAAAAAAUGUUGACCAAGAAGAUGAGAAAGAGAUAGAGAUAGACAAGGAAGUUGAAACUGUAUUGCAAAGUGGAACCAUUGUCGAGUCAUUGAGUAUAACGACGGAGAAUAUGAACAUUGUAUCUAGUGAGGCUCAAAGUGUCAAAGACAAAACCAGUACCUGCUAUGCCAGUCCGUCAUUCCCGUGCCCUUUUUGCCCUCGAGUUUACAAUAGCUGGGGAUAUAGGAGAAGACACGUUAAAUCUCGACAUAUGACUAACAGAUUGUCCUGCAAGUGGUGCGUCUCAAUUCUCCCAUCAACAGGAGCGUGGUACUCCCACGCGACGCGCGCGCACGGCGUCCCGCACGAGGAGGCGCGCAACUCCCUCGUGGUCAUGGUGGAGGCUCACGCGGUACUCACUCUCAAUGAGCCCAGCGUUGCCCAGCUGUUGGGCCAAGUGGGCAUAUCGGACAGCAAUACAGCGGAGAAGACCAAUUAGGGUAUGUGAUUUUUUUAUUUGCGUGACGUCUUUUAUGCUGGCUUUACACGAUAGGUCAUCGCGAUUGCCCACUAUGAAGUGUCAUGUAAAGAGUAGUGACGUGUGAUGGCAAAUAGUGUGUGUGAUGGUCUUUGGUUGUCAGUUCUUCGGCCUUACAUCAAAAGGUGAAUAAGGACGAUAUACAUGUCUCCUACUGUUUAGGGUGUCAAAUGGAAUUUGAUUUAAUUAAACUUGUUGUCAUGAUUAAAUAACAUCCACCAUCUUCUAAUCAAUUUUUCAUUAAUAACUAUUUUCUCGUAUACAGUAUGAAGAUAAAAGAAAGCCCUCUAUUGAUAUAUUGACUUAAUGAUGAUAGGUUACACGUCCAUCGUGUUUAAACAUUAAAUGAGACGAUGGACCCACUAAGGGUGCACAUCAAAGAAGAGUAGGCCUGUGAUCAUUCAUAUUUGUAACAUAUUGUUACUAAUGAAUACUGAACUUCGCUUGAAGAUGAGUUACAACCAUCACAUAGAAAUCUCACAUUUGAUGGGGCAGCUGCUAAAUUCUAUCAUGUAGCGCCAGCAUUACACACAUACCUACCGGAUGAAAUGAAUUUUAAGAAAUAUAUCUUUGGAGUGCAAUAAUCCACAAUUGAUGUAUUGUCUGCUCAGACCAAUUAUUGUAUAGGACCUGCCUCGCUAGACGUUACUUUUCUGUCAAAGUGUAUGAUCAAUGAUCUA
rnacentral:misc_RNA from 1 species